rnacentral:rRNA from 1 species
GACGAACGCUGGCGGCGUGCUUAGCACAUGCAAGUCGAGCGGUAAGGCCCCUUCGGGGGUACACGAGCGGCGAACGGGUGAGUAACACGUGGGUGACCUGCCCUCAGCUCUGGGAUAAGCCGGGGAAACCGGGUGUACUACCGGAGAGGACCGGCCACCGCAUGGUGGGGGGUGGAAAGAUUUUUCGGCUGGGGAUGGGCCCGCGGCCUAUCAGCUUGUUGGUGGGGUGAUGGCCUACCAGGGUGACGACGGGUACCCGGCCUGAGAGGGCGACCGUGCCCACUAGGACUAAGACGCGGGCCGGCGUCGUACGGGAGGCAGAAGUGUGGAAUGUUGCGCAAUGGGCGGAAGCCUGACGCAGCGACGCCGCGUGGGGGAUGACGGCCUUCGAGUUGUAAACCUCUUUCGACCGGGACGAAGGGUGACUGACGGUACCGGUAGAAGAAGCACCGGCCAACUACGUGCCAGCCGCCGCAGUAA